rnacentral:rRNA from 1 species
AUUGAACGCUGGCGGCAUGCCAUACACAUGCAAGUCGAACGGCAGCACGGGGGCAACCCUGGUGGCGAGUGGCGAACGGGUGAGUAAUGCAUCGGAACGUGCCCAGUAGUGGGGGAUAACCAGUCGAAAGACUGGCUAAUAUCGCAUACGACCCAAGGGUGAAAGCGGGGGACCGUAAGGCCUCGCGCUAUUGGAGCGGCCGAUGUCUGAUUAGCUAGUUGGCGGGGUAAGAGCCCACCAAGGCGACGAUCAGUAGCUGGUCUGAGAGGACGACCCGCAACACUGGGACUGAGACACGGCCCAGACUCCUACGGGAGGCAGCAGUGGGGAAUUUUGGACAAUGGGCGCAAGCCUGAUCCAGCCAUGCCGCGUGCGGGAAGAAGGCCUUCGGGUUGUAAACCGCUUUUGGCAGGAACGAAACGGCGCAAGCCAAUACCUUGCGCUAAUGACGGUACCUGCAGAAUAAGCACCGGCUAACUACGUGCCAGCCGCCGCGGUAACAC